UACGUAGGGUGCGAGCGUUGUCCGGAAUUAUUGGGCGUAAAGGGCUCGUAGGCGGUCCAUCGCGUCGGGAGUGAAAAGCUGGGGCUCAACUCCAGUCCUGCUUCCGAUACGGGUGGACUAGAGGUAGGCAGGGGAGAACGGAAUUCCUGGUGUAGCGGUGAAAUGCGCAGAUAUCAGGAAGAACACCAAUGGCGAAAGCAGCUCUCUGGGACGGUACUGACGCUGAGACGCGAAAGCGUGGGGAGCGAACAGG
rnacentral:rRNA from 1 species